rnacentral:tmRNA from 1 species
GGGGGCGAAAAGGGUUCGACAGGGAUAGCUGCUUCUUGGGUUGCAUGCCGAGCACCCCGUACCACUCGUUAAACGGUCGGGAAACAAAAUGUAACUGCAGAUCACGAAUUUGCAAUGGCUGCUUAACAAAGUGGCCCGGCUCCCUCGAUCAGCCUGCGGAUCGGGAAGAGCCGUCGAUUAGCAGGAUGGCGCCGGUAAACGGCCCGGCCUAUCGGCGCGAAAUUUACGGGCUGGCCAGUGGCGCAUCCUUCUCAUGGGAGGCGCUAUCGGCAAGAUCAAAACAUGAGAUAAGCAUGUAGACGCUCAACGAGCGAUAUCUUUGGACGGGGGUUCAAUUCCCCCCGCCUCCACCA